CGUAUAUUUAAGUUGUUGCAGUUAAAAAGCUCGUAGUCGGAUUUUGGCUGAGAACGGUCGGUCCGCCGUUAGGUGUGCACUGACUGGUCUCAGCUUCCUGGUGAGGAGGUGUGCUUCAUCGCCACUUAGUCACCGUGGUUACUUUGAAAAAAUUAGAGUGUUCAAAGCGGGCUUACGCUUGAAUAUAUUAGCAUGGAAUAACACCAUAGGACUCCUGUCCUAUUUCGUUGGUCUCGGGACGGGAGUAAUGAUUAAGAGGAACAGUUGGGGGCAUUCGUAUUUCAUUGUCAGAGGUGAAAUUCUUGGAUUUAUGAAAGACGAACUUCUGCGAAAGCAUUUGCCAAGGAUGUUUUCAUUGAUCAAGAACGAAAGUUGGGGGCUCGAAGAUGAUUAGAUACCAUCCUAGUCUCAACCAUAAACGAUGCCGACUAGGGAUUGGCGGAUGUUAAUUGAUGACUUCGCCAGCACCUUAUGAGAAAUCAAAGUUUUUGGGUUCCGGGGGGAGUAUGGUCGCAAGGCUGAAACUUAAAGGAAUUGACGGAAGGGC
rnacentral:rRNA from 1 species